UCUCUAAUGAUGAUAGGAGAAAUAUUUCACCAAGCAUAAUCGUUCAAAGCAAGACCAAAAGAGGCAAGUUUAUCAGCACAGUGGUUCCCUUCCCUAUAAAUAUGAGAGAUAGAAAAACUCAUAUUUUUUAUCUUUGUGAUGCAAUUCAGCCAACAAUUCUUUAACUGCCAAGGAAUUACAUGAGGGGAUUUGAAGGCUAAAACAACUAACUUAGAAUCACAUUCUAACCAAAGCU
rnacentral:lncRNA from 1 species